ACGGAAGGCAGCAGUGGGGAAUAUUGCACAAUGGGCGCAAGCCUGAUGCAGCAACGCCGCGUGAGGGAAGACGGUUUUCGGAUUGUAAACCUCUGUUCUUGGUGAAGAAGAAAGUGACGGUAGCCAAGGAGGAAGCCACGGCUAACUACGUGCCAGCAGCCGCAGUAAUACGUAGGUGGCAAGCGUUGUCCGGAAUUACUGGGUGUAAAGGGAGCGCAGGCGGGACAGCAAGUUGGAUGUGAAAUACCGAGGCUUAACCACGGAGCUGCAUCCAAAACUGUUGUUCUUGAGUGAAGUAGAGGUAGGCGGAAUUCCGAGUGUAGCGGUGAAAUGCGUAGAUAUUCGGAGGAACACCAGUGGCGAAGGCGGCUUACUGGACGGUAACUGACGUUGAGGCUCGAAAGCGUGGGGAGCAAACAGGAUUAGAUACCCUGGUA
rnacentral:rRNA from 1 species